rnacentral:lncRNA from 1 species
AAAAAACCCAUCAAACUUCAAUGGAGCUAUCGCAGGAAUUUAUUUCUGGUUAGUGUGUUUUUGAAGAAAUGAUGACCAAGGCUCGCUCAGGAAGAUGUGUCAUGUGUUUCAUGUCUCUCCAAUGACUGAUUGACAGGAAGGUUCCACGUCAUCCUGGCUGAUAAGUGCUUUCCUGGCUACAAAAGUUCCAAACAGACAGUUUAGGAGUUGCUGGACUGCAGUGUUUGUGUUUACAAGAGAACAUACCACUGUCUGAUGAAGAUAUACACAGCUAGAGGUGAUUUGCCAGAGUUAAUCCACAGAAUCCAUGUGCACACAAGAAAUUACCUGCCCCAGGACUUCUGAAAUAGCAG